ensembl:ncRNA lncRNA:CR44442 long non-coding RNA:CR44442
GCAAUGAGAGAAAGAGCCCAAUGCGGAAUUGUGUCAACAGCAAUCGCCAUCCCAAUCCGCCAGUCACGAGUGCACUCGGCGCACUCCACGUACGGCCAUAAUCUUAAAUUUAAAUAUAUAUACAAGUGCGGCGCCUCCUCGAGUCUCCUCAUAACGAUGUGGCAAUAGCUCUCCUCCUGAUUAAAGACCAGUGGACUUGGACAUCCACACGUGUGUGCAUAUACGCUUAAAGCACUGGAUGUACUGGUAACGGCUGUCGCAAAGGAUUCAUAUCGUUUCGUUUCGUUUACUCUUGCUGCCUGCCAGCCCCAAUAUUACGCAUACGACGGGUGGGACGGAUUGACGGACUGCAAGGUCUGGAUGGGCGGCGGGGUGGUUCGGUGGAGGGGCUUUUUCGAAGUGUCAACCACUUGCAACUUUUGACGUUAUAUUUUUGUUGGUUUUCAAUUAAAAAGUUUGCCUUAUCCUGCUUUUGUUGCAGCGCCCAACUGGCCUCCUCGGCAGCAGUACGUCCCUUUUGCCGGAUUUCAUUGUUCGUAUGCCUCUGACGGCCUUCUGACAGCCUGUAUGCAACACAUUUCAGCCAAAUGGAAAUCGCAGACAAUUGCCAUUGACGUGGGCAAACCAUUUAGCAACGCCACGAAUUUCCUAAAAAGAAAUGCAAUACCUUCGAUUUCUUGUUAAUAACGGGCUUAAAGGACAUUUCUUCAAUGCAUAAGCACGUUUUAUUAUCCUGGCGCACUUCCAAGCGUAAUUGAUUGAUUGAUGGAUGGAUGCAUGGAUGGACCAGGAACCAGCACACAUCCACGCCCGCCCUCCACCAAACACAGCCAACAGGACAUCGAGCGAAUGGGCGAUAUUAAAGCAACGUCCUUCUGCCAAAAGUCCCGACAACUUAGCACAUUUAAUCUUUAAUUAAGAGCAGCAAGGACGAACGUUAUCUGACCCUCUUUGGGGCAGUCAACUGCCCUGCCGGCUUAAAUGAUGCGUUAAGAUGACUCCCAUGAAGGAUCACGAAAGUGGCUUGCGGUUUUCGGGGUUUCUGUGGCACCGUGGCCGCAAAAGGACUUUAAGGCCAAACACUGGGCCGCCAAAAGGACACGAAUCCCGAGGCACUGGAGGGCAGGACAUGGCAGGCGAUGGCAGGCCAAAGGCAAAUGGUAAAUGGCAAACGGCAAAUGGCAGAGUAAACCUCCCAUCCACAUAAUUCGCAAAGGCAUUGCAAAUGAAUUAAAUUACACAGAAGUGCGAAAUAAUGGCCGACAGUCCAAAGAGUUGCGUUGCCAAGAGCCAUGCAAAUGGCCA